ACGCUCGACACCUACGGGAGGCAGCAGUCGGGAAUAUUGCGCAAUGGAGGAAACUCUGACGCAGUGACGCCGCGUAUGGGAAGAAGGUUUUCGGAUUGUAAACCAUUUUAGACAAGGAAGAAACAAGACAGUACUUGUAGAAUAAGCUCCGGCUAACUACGUGCUAGCAGCCGCGGUAAUCUGAGCGGGCUGGCAAGGC
rnacentral:rRNA from 1 species